GGGAUAUUAAACGCUGUAAUUAACUAAAGUCAAGUAUAUUACACAAUUCAAACGAGUUUUCCUUGUGAGCAUUCGUAGAAAACGGAUUAUGUGCUCUUUCGUAUUGCAAAAAAAAUGAUGCUUCAAAAUUGUGCGGCAGUUUCUAUGUAUGUCUGUAAUGGAAUGUAUGACUGAUUUUAUGUUGCUUUUGGAAAACUGGACAUAUACAACCGAAAGGAUACUUCACAUGCCAUGCUAGACAAUGCUAUGAAUAACAGCUCAUCGGAUUGUGUUACAAAGAAAACAGAAACGUCAAGUGCUUAUUCUGAAGUUAUUAUAAUCGGACUUUCAGUAGUGUCAAUAAUAAUUUGCAUGAUAUAUAUUUACAUCCGUGUGCAAAAAUGUAGCAAAAUGUGAAAUAAAC